GACGGAGGAUGCAAGUGUUAUCCGGAAUCACUGGGCGUAAAGCGUCUGUAGGUUGUUUAAAAAGUCUGCAGUUAAAGGUUGAAAGCUUAACUUCAAAAAUGCCGUAGAAACUUUUAAACUAGAGGAUGGUAGGGGUAGAGGGAAUUUCCAGUGGAGCGGUGAAAUGUGUAGAUAUUGGAAAGACCACCGAUGGCGAAGGCACUCUACUGGGCCAUGACUGACACUGAGAGACGAAAGCUAGGGGAGCGAAUGGGA
rnacentral:rRNA from 1 species